rnacentral:lncRNA from 1 species
GUCAGAUCGUGUCCUUACUGCACAAGCUGCUGGAGCUUUUUGACCUGAACGAAUUGCGUGACAGCGACGUAGCACACAUAGCGGGAGAAGAGCCUCAGCACAUGCUCUUUUUGUACCUAAUUCAGCUGCUGGCUAUAUUUGUGAGCCGCUGUCUGGAGGAGAAAGAUCUUGCCACCAUCUUGGGCUUGGCAUCGGCCCCUUUCCUGGAGGCCAACUUCUGCAAUCCUCUGUGCGCUGCGACGCUGUUGAGGCCCAUGUUCAUUCCCUACUACGAUCAGCAGGCGGGUAAGAAGAAUAGAAAAGGUGAGCCCGCGGGAGCUGAGCCUAAAGACCCAGAGGCCAGGCUGAAAUAUUACAGGCUGUUUUUAGGGUACGAACUGGACAACAAGGGGUCAGAUGUGUCCAACGGAGUGGAUAUAAGCUGGACCGAACACAGCGUGAUGCAAGGCAUUCAGGGGUGCAAAAUCGCAGAGAUGAAGAGCAGAAAGCUUUGGUUUGUGGCUCCUCAGAUGGGCGACAGGAUGCUCAUGGUUAAGGACUGUGGUCUGAAAAUGAUGGGAGGGCAGAAGGACGAAAAGGCCCAGAAGAUCUGCUCCUGCUUGCUGUCUGACAACGUGAUGGCGUACAUGCAGUGCGCUUUGUUUGGCGCAAUCUCCAACAUGCUGCCCUGUCACGCAAACAGCGACUUCACAGAGGCCGUGAUGGCUACCAUCGGGAGUGACAUGACCAAGUUCUCUGACGUCGUUCGGCACCAGAGCGCGAACCUGAUGUUGCAGCUGAGUAAGAUGACGGACAGCUGCCUGUACAUCUCGGGGGUAGGUUUUGCUGGACAGGAUAAAGGUAACUCUCUCUACUUUGGAAAGGUUUUUACCGGAACCGAAGACAAGAGACCCCCUCAGCAUCAGACGACGAGGUUAGGGGUUUUUACUUCGGUGACGCUGGGACUCUCCCAGAACACCAUGAUGAGCUCCCUCUUGGCCAUUGCCAUGAAACAAAAGCACGAUCAAACUGGCAGUAGCGUGCAGAGCACGCUGUCUAAAGUGUGCAAGUCUGUAAUGGUUACUAAGGUGGCGAUGGACAUGUCAUUCUACGCUCGCUAUCAUCACAGGUUUAACGCUGGCGAAUUCACAGAAGUCGCUCAGGUGAAAGCGCUGAGUGACCCCCGC